rnacentral:rRNA from 1 species
ACUCCUACGGGAGGCAGCAGUGGGGAAUAUUGGACAAUGGGCGCAAGCCUGAUCCAGCCAUGCCGCGUGAGUGAUGAAGGCCCUAGGGUUGUAAAGCUCUUUCACCGGUGAAGAUAAUGACGGUAACCGGAGAAGAAGCUCCGGCUAAUCUUNGUUGCCAAGCAGCCGCGGUAAUACGAAGGGAGCUAGCGUUGUUCGGAAUUACUGGGCGUAAAGCGCACGUAGGCGGACUGUUAAGUCGGGGGUGAAAUCCCGGGGCUCAACCCCGGAACUGCCUUCGAUACUGGCAGUCUUGAGUUCGAGAGAGGUGAGUGGAAUUCCGAGUGUAGAGGUGAAAUUCGUAGAUAUUCGGAGGAACACCAGUGGCGAAGGCGGCUCACUGGCUCGAUACUGACGCUGAGGUGCGAAAGNGUGGGGAGCAAACAGGAUUAGAUACCCUGGUAGCUACGAG